AUGAGGGCUCCUAGGGGAGGGGAAGUGUGGGAGUGGCCAACAGGCACAGCAGGCACUGCCCUUACCCUGAGAGGAAGGAAGGAAGACCACAAGUGGCAGCAAGAGGGUAACAGGCUGGGAGAAGACCACUCCCCUUAUCUUCUAGGCCACCCACGCCUGGAGCCAACCCUGUUAGGUAAGGUACUGAAAAAUAUACUGGGAUUUUUAUUAUUUUUAGCACCCCCAAGCAGAGAGGCUCAGGGGAGGAGCAGACAUGCAGCACAGGGUCCGCUUCGAAGUUUCCCAGCCACAGUGCUUCAGAAAAUUUCAGAAAAAAGCGAAACAAACAUUCCUUACUGCUGCGUCUAUCUUCUGAAGAUGAUAGCAGCUGGCAGAGUUCGUCCACCCCAGCCUAGUUAGCAUUCAACACAUGGCUAUGGGAGAGUGCCCCUCAUCAGCGGGCUCCUCCCCCAGGGCCCUGUACUCCAGGCUACUCCACACCCCUCUGCCCACCUCAGGCCAGUAAGGUCAGGGUGCACAUGGACUGUUUCUCAGCCCUUCCCCCAGGGGGCCAGGGAAGACAAGGAAUCGUUUGUCAGCCGUGACAUGCGAGUGGUGGCAGGGAAGGGCAGAAGUAGGAAAAGCAGCAGCACAGCAAGCAGCAGGCCACUUCCUGGGCACAGUUACUAAGGCACGUGACCAUGGUGAGGAGGAUCCUCAGGACUGGGCUAGAGCUGCCUGCAGCCACCCGGGGACUCAGUCUGCGCCCCUCGGCCUCCCCUCCGUCACCACAAACCCAGAAAGGGGCAACCUGGCUAGAUUGCCAGUGACCAGAUGGGCACUCCAUGGCAUCUCAGCAACUCUCCUUCCUGCCCCAGGCCCCUGUGGGUAGCAAGAAAGCCAGAGCUAUCUGGGAUAAAACCCAGGAGGCAGCAUGCAACUUCCCCUUAUACUCCAGGGAAACAGAAAAAAGACAAGGCCAGGAAGGCCGACGCUGGAAGUAGGAAGUGAGAACUUGCAUAUUAGGAAGACAAUCAUUAUCAGCCAUUUUCCUUCUCUCCCUUGGGAUCUUCUGGAUGCUUCUUGGAAACACUCAACUCAACAAGGCCAGGAGCUUGCGCCUUUGGGCCAGAUGGCUGGGUCCUGGACCAGCUUGGGCAUGAUUUUCCAAAUCUUCCAUCCUCGGCCAAGGAAAUGUGCCACCAGGGUCAACCCAGGGCAAGCCCAGGGACUACACUCUCACCCCAGUUAGAGCCACUUCUGCCACUCCUGACUCAAGAGCUCUCACACCUGGAUCUGCUCCUGCAAAGGGCAGCAGGGGCAGCCCUCAAAGGAAACAGGAUAGACCCAGGCCUGGCCCCCUAUGUGGCAGGGGGCAGCAGUGCAGCCACUAAGGCUUGUGGACAGCAACAAGCCUGCAUGACAGGGAAACUGGACAGGGUGGGGGAAAGGCACAAGUAAACACAGCAGCACUCAGGCCCACAGGAGCUGGUGGGGGCUGCUGCCAAAGAGCUGGCUGGAGGGGACCCAGAGGCUUAGGAAAAGGGAGGGUUCGAUCCAGCACAUUCAAAUAUGUCUCCAACAGACGGGAAGGCUGGGCCAGGCAAAGAGCCAAUUCCUCUAGCUGUCCAACAGGCAGAUGGUGAGAAUCUUCCUUGAGUUUCCAGCAAGGUGGGCCUAUAGGGCCCUCAGAGAUACACAGGUACACAGGUGGCAGCUCAGGUAUCCAGGUAAGGUGGCUGGAGAGUACAGGGUGCUCAAUCCCACAGGGAGAGGGAGGAAGGGCUGAGAGAACCUCGCAGACA
rnacentral:lncRNA from 1 species